GCCACUACUACAUCUAACUUGUUUAUCUCGUCUACAUUAGCUUCAACCACUACAUUCUCAUCUAAUUUGUUCUUUUCAACUUCCUCUUCAAAUUCAAACUCUGCUUUGCCUUUCUCUACCGAUUCAUCAGGUUUUUCCUACCCCAAAAGCAGUACAAGUUUAACACUAACUACUACUGCAUCUACAGCAGCUCCUUCUUUGACACAAUCUUCAUCAGCUAGCUCUUUAGGCUUCUCUUUGGGGACAUCAUCUUCUGCAUCUUCAGCAAGCGCU
rnacentral:misc_RNA from 1 species